rnacentral:tRNA from 1 species
GGGGCAGUAGCUUAACGGUAAAGCCCGGGCCUUAUAAGCCCAAGAGUGGGGGUUCGACUCCCCCCUGCCCUACCA